CCUACGGGAGGCAGCAGUGAGGAAUAUUGGUCAAUGGGCGCGAGCCUGAACCAGCCAAGUCGCGUGCGGGAAGACGGUCCUAUGGAUUGUAAACCUCUUUUGUCGGGGAGCAAAAGACGCCACGCGUGGGGUUCCGAGAGUACCCGAAGAAAAAGCACCGGCUAACUCCGUGCCAGCAGCCGCGGUAAUACGGAGGAUGCGAGCGUUAUCCGGAUUUAUUGGGUUUAAAGGGUGCGCAGGCGGAAGAUCAAGCCAGCGGUAAAAUUGAGGGGCUCAACCUGUGCGUGCAGUUGAAACUGGUUUGCUUGAGUGAGCGAGAAGCAUGCGGAAUGCGUGGUGUAGCGGUGAAAUGCAUAGAUAUCACGCAGAACUCCGAUUGCGAAGGCAGCAUGCCGGCGCUCAACUGACGCUCAUGCACGAAAGUGUGGGUAUCGAACAGGAUUAGAUACCCUGGUAGUC
rnacentral:rRNA from 1 species